rnacentral:rRNA from 1 species
GACGAACGCUGGCGGCGUGCUUAACACAUGCAAGUCGAGCGGAAAGGCCCUUUCGGGGGUACUCGAGCGGCGAACGGGUGAGUAACACGUGAGUAACCUGCCCCAGUCUUUGGGAUAACCCUCGGAAACGGGGGCUAAUACCGGAUACGACAUGUUCUCGCAUGGGAUACGUGUGGAAACUUUUUGGGUCUGGGAUGGGCUCGCGGCCUAUCAGCUUGUUGGUGGGGUGAUGGCCUACCAAGGCGACGACGGGUAGCCGGCCUGAGAGGGCGACCGGCCACACUGGGACUGAGACACGGCCCAGACUCCUACGGGAGGCAGCAGUGGGGAAUAUUGCACAAUGGGCGGAAGCCUGAUGCAGCGACGCCGCGUGAGGGAUGACGGCCUUCGGGUUGUAAACCUCUUUCAGCAGGGACGAAGCGUGAGUGACGGUACCUGCAGAAGAAGCGCCGGCCAACUACGUGCCAGCAGCCGCCGUAACAC